GCCUCCGUGGCGCAAUCAGCUAGCGCGUUCUGUUAUUAAACGAAAAAUUAGUGGUUCCAGCCCACCCGGGGGCG